AUUGAACGCUGGCGGCAGGCCUAACACAUGCAAGUCGAGCGGAUGAAGGGAGCUUGCUCCUGGAUUCAGCGGCGGACGGGUGAGUAAUGCCUAGGAAUCUGCCUGGUAUUGGGGGAUAACGUCCGGAAACGGGCGCUAAUACCGCAUACGUCCUGAGGGUGAAAGUGGGGGUUCUUCGGACCUCACGCUAUCAGAUGAGCCUAGGUCGGAUUAGCUAGUUGGUGGGGUAAAGGCCUACCAAGGCGACGAUCCGUAACUGGUCUGAGAGGAUGAUCAGUCACACUGGAACUGAGACACGGUCCAGACUCCUACGGGAGGCAGCAGUGGGGAAUAUUGGACAAUGGGCGAAAGCCUGAUCCAGCCAUGCCGCGUGUGUGAAGAAGGUCUUCGGAUUGUAAAGCACUUUAAGUUGGGAGGAAGGGCAGUAAGUUAAUACCUUGCUGUUUUGACGUUACCAACAGAAUAAGCACCGGCUAACUUCGUG
rnacentral:rRNA from 1 species